AACCUCUUUUUUCAGGGAGGAAUAAAUGACGGUACCUAAAGAAUAACCAUCGGCUAACUCUGUGCCAGCACCCGCGGUAAGACAGAGGAUGCAAGUGUUAUCCGUAAUCACUGGGCGUAAAGAUCUGUAGGUGGUCAAAUAAGUCAACGGUUAAAUCUUGAGGCUCAACCUCAAAAUAGCAGUGGAAACCUUUUAGACUGACUAACACUCAGAGACGAAAGCUAGGGUAGCGAAUGGGAUUAGAUACCCC
rnacentral:rRNA from 1 species